AGUGAAAGUGGAAAAGAAACAGUGGGAGGAAUGAGAGGCAAGAAGCAGCGGGUAGCACUUUUCUCGGUAUCAAAGAGACGUGAAACUAGUCAGGCAACCUAGGGUGUGAAUAAUGUGGCAAGGAAAUAAAAGGCCUGCUAGCAAAUGCUCAGUUGAGCUUGGUAAUGGGUCCUCUCCCAGCAUCUCCAGCCAAGAGCUUGACUGCAACCUCAUAUGAGAUUUUGAGCCAUAACCAUUCAGCUAAACUGCUUCUGGAUACCUGACCAUAGAAACUGUGAGAUUAUAGGAGAAGCAGAUCUUAGGGGGACAAGAGUACAUAUGAAACACAGCAGAGGAGUAGGAUAUGUCUUUGAAUGAAGAUGCCUGAGGGACUGAAUAAAGAACCUGGACAACUAAAGAAAAAAGACACCUAUGGAUCAGAAUUGAGACAAUUUCUUCACACUGAGGAUUGCUCAGCAGGAAUGCUACUUAAUUUUUUUUCUUGUAAAAAAAGAACUUCCAGUUUCCCAAGACGCAACAUUGAAUUCAAUCAGAGGUAAAGAUUCUGGACUAUUGGAUUAAAUGAGGAGGCAGGAGCUACUAUCUCUUGCAGUGUGAAACCAGGGCCGGGGAUGAAGAUAUGGACACAUCUCAGCUUUCCAGGGAUGCUGUGAUGUGGGUGAGCAUGAGCUUUGUCUAUGGGCUGAAUUGCAUCCCUCCAAAAUUCAUAUGUUAUGGUCCUAACCCCUAGUACCUCCGAAUGCGACUGUUUGGAGAUAGGGUCUUUAGAGAUGUUAUUAAAUUAAAAUGAGGUUAUUAGAGUGGCUCCUAAUCCAAUAUGAUUGGUAUCCUUAUAAGUAGAGGAAAUUUGCACAUGGCUGGGUACAGAGAAAAGUCUAUGUAAAGACUCAGGGAGAAGACCAUCUAAAGCCAAGAAGAAAGCCUUCAGAAGGAACCAACCCUGCUGACACCUUAAACUUGGCCUUCUAGCCUCUAGACUGUGAGAAAAUAAAUUUUUGUUGUUUAAGGCAUCUAGUACUUUGUUAUAGCAGCUUGAGCAAACUAAUACAAGUUCCAUUUGUAGUAGAAGCUAUUAAACAUCAUUACAUAGUCUAUGUCUGCACUCAACAAAGACUGGUUCCCACCAUUAAGACAAGCUGCUCCUUCUACCACUUGGGAGGAAAUCAGCUUAAGGAAAGGUGUUAGAAAUAUUAGGAAAUACAGAUUAAAAAAUGAAGAAACAAAAUAUAACUGUGAUCUCACCACUCAAAGAAAGGAUGUACCCAUUUAUAUUCAGCAAGCCUAUUUUGAGUGCAACAUAAAGCCCUGUCACUGGUAACUCUUGACUCAGCUGCUCAAGGGCUUUCAGCCAAAAUCCUAGGAGGAGAGUGAGGAAACUAGAGGACACUGAAAAGCUGUGCCACAAGUGACUCAGAUCCUGCAAGUGGCUCGAUGGAGGAGUGUCCCGUGUUGGUGGCGGAGGUUUUUCCUUCCUUGUGAAAUUAUGCCAUUCAUUAGAAGGUGAUACUGUCAUCAAUGUGAGAGGCCCAGGACUCUGCAGGGCCUGAAGAAAUCCUGGGCAAUGAGUCUGAGGGAAGUCUCUCAGAGCAGCUACUCUGAGAGAGUAAAGCCGCAGCCUUUGUGGGGUAUGAAAGCAG
rnacentral:lncRNA from 1 species